rnacentral:rRNA from 1 species
UGGGAAUCUUGCACAAUGGGCGAAAGCCUGAUGCAGCAACGCCGCGUGCGGGAAGACAGCCCUAGGGUUGUAAACCGCUUUCAGCAGGGAAGAAACUGACGGUACCUGCAGAAGAAGAUGCGGCCAACUACGUGCCAGCAGCCGCGGUGACACGUAGGCAUCAAGCGUUAUCCGGAUUUAUUGGGCGUAAAGAGCUCGUAGGCGGUUCGGUAAGUCGGGUGUGAAAACUCUGGGCUCAACCCAGAGAGGCCACUCGAUACUGCUGUGACUAGAGUGCGGUAGGGGAGCGGGGAAUUCCUGGUGUAGCGGUGAAAUGCGCAGAUAUCAGGAGGAACACCAGUGGCGAAGGCGCCGCUCUGGGCCGUAACUGACGCUGAGGAGCGAAAGCGUGGGGAGCAAACAGGAUUAGAUACCCUGGUAGUCCACGCCGUAAACGAUGUCUGCUAGUCGUUGGGGAGCAUAGCUCUUCGUGACGCAGCUACGCAUUAAGCAGACCGCCUGGGA